rnacentral:lncRNA from 1 species
AGGUUUGGGUUUAAGUCCUGACUCUGUCACACUAGCUAAAGGACUUGGAGUUUUAGUUUCCUGAUCUGAAAAAUGGGAAUAAUGUUACCUUCCUUAUGGGUUAUUUUAGUAUUAUAAAUUUAUAUUGUAAGAGACAUGACACUUUGAGGCUUGAAGCAGUGGCUCACAUCUGUAAUCCCAGCCACUUGGGAGGCUGAAGCAGGAGGAUUGUAUGUUGAAGGCCAGCCUCAGCAUUUUAAGCAACACCCUGUCUCAAAUUAAAAAAAUUUUGAGAAAGGGCUGUGUAUGUAGCUUAGUGGUAAGUGGUAGAGUGCCCCCAGGUUCAAUCCCUAGUACCACAGGGGAGAAAAUAAAUAAGAAAGAGAUAUGACAUUUUGAUAGUAGUGCUGGAAGAAAUGAGAGAUAGGUAGAAAGGAGACAAAAGGAAGUAAGACUAUAACUUUUAUCUGAAAGCCCUGUGCUGAGCUUGGGUAUAGCUCAGUGGUAGUACACUUGCUUAGCAUGUAAUAAGGCCCUGGGGUUGAUCCCCAGCACCAAAAAAAAAAAAAAAAUCUUGUGCUAAGUUCCUCAUAUCUUUCCUCCCAAACCUAUUCUCUCUUCCAGGCUUGUUAUUCCCAAAUUUCUGAGAAAUCUACAAAUUUUCAC